GAGGGUAUAGCUCAGUGGUAGAGUGUGGGCUUAGUAUGCAUGAGAUCUUUCCUGGGUUCAAACCCCAGUAACUCCA
rnacentral:tRNA from 1 species